rnacentral:rRNA from 1 species
GCAAACAGGAUUAGAUACCCUGGUAGUCCACGCCGUAAACGAUGUCGACUUGGAGGUUGUGCCCUUGAGGCGUGGCUUCCGGAGCUAACGCGUUAAGUCGACCGCCUGGGGAGUACGGCCGCAAGGUUAAAACUCAAAUGAAUUGACGGGGGCCCGCACAAGCGGUGGAGCAUGUGGUUUAAUUCGAUGCAACGCGAAGAACCUUACCUGGCCUUGACAUCCAGAGAACUUAGCAGAGAUGCUUUGGUGCCUUCGGGAACUCUGAGACAGGUGCUGCAUGGCUGUCGUCAGCUCGUGUUGUGAAAUGUUGGGUUAAGUCCCGCAACGAGCGCAACCCUUAUCCUUUGUUGCCAGCGGUUCGGCCGGGAACUCAAAGGAGACUGCCGGUGAUAAACCGGAGGAAGGUGGGGAUGACGUCAAGUCAUCAUGGCCCUUACGGCCAGGGCUACACACGUGCUACAAUGGCGCAUACAAAGAGAAGCGACCUCGCGAGAGCAAGCGGACCUCAUAAAGUGCGUCGUAGUCCGGAUUGGAGUCUGCAACUCGACUCCAUGAAGUCGGAAUCGCUAGUAAUCGUAGAUCAGAAUGCUACGGUGAAUACGUUCCCGGGCCUUGUACACACCGCCCGUCACACCAUGGGAGUGGGUUGCAAAAGAAGUAGGUAGCUUAACCUUCGGGAGGGCGC